rnacentral:pre_miRNA from 1 species
CAAGUACUCCCUCUGUCUGAAAUUACUUGUCAUCAAAAUGGAUGUGUCUAGAACUAAAAUACAUCUAGAUACAUCCAUUUCAAUGACAAGUAUUUUCGGACGGAGGGAGUACAAG